UACGAAGGGGGCUAGCGUUGUUCGGAAUUACUGGGCGUAAAGCGCACGUAGGCGGAUCGAUCAGUCAGGGGUGAAAUCCCAGAGCUCAACUCUGGAACUGCCUUUGAUACUGUCGAUCUGGAGUAUGGAAGAGGUGAGUGGAAUUCCGAGUGUAGAGGUGAAAUUCGUAGAUAUUCGGAAGAACACCAGUGGCGAAGGCGGCUCACUGGACUGGUAUUGACGCUGAGGUGCGAAAGCGUGGGGAGCAAACAGG
rnacentral:rRNA from 1 species